AGCUCGUGUCGUGAGAUGUUGGUUAAGUCCCGCAACGAGCGCAACCUUACCCUUAGUUGUUUUCCCGAAAGGAUUACCUCUAAGGGGACUGCCCCGGACAACGGGGAGGGAAGGUGGGGAUGACGUCAAGUCCGCAUGCUCCUUACGUCUAGGGCUACACACGUCCUACAAUGGGGUCGACAGUGGGAUGCAAAGCCGCGAGGUGGAGCCAAUCCCCAAACGGCCUCUCAGUUCGGAUAGUAGUCUGCAACUCGACUACGUGAAGUCGGAAUCACUAGUAAUCGCGGAUCAGCAUGCUGCGGUGAAUACGUUCCCGGGUCUU
rnacentral:rRNA from 1 species